CCUUAGGCCUCCUUAGCCCUCCUUAUGCCUCUUUAGCCCUCCUUAGUCGUCCUUAGGACUCCUUAGGCCUCCUUAGGCCUUUUUAGGCCUCCUUAGCCAUCCUUAUGCCUCCUCAUCCCUCCUUAGCCGUCCUUAGGCCUCCAUAGCCCUCCUAAGACCUCCUUAGCCCUCCUUAGCCCUCCUUAGGCCUCCUUAGCCCUGCUUAGGUUUCCUUAUGCCUCCGUAGCCCUCCUUAGACCUCCUUAGCCUUCCUUAGCCCUCCUUAGGCCUUCUUAGGCCUCCUUAGCCCUCCUUAGGUCUCCUUAGGCCUCCUUAAGCCUCCUUGCCUCUUUAGGCAUCCUUGGGCCUCCUUAGCCCUCCUUAUGCCUCCUUAGCUCUUCUUAUGCCUCCUUAGCCCUCCUUAUGCCUCCUUAGCUCUUCUUAUGCCUCCUUAGCCCUCCUUAUGCCUCCUUAGGUCUCCUUAGGCCUCAUUAAGCCUCCUUAGGUCUCCUUAGGGCUCCUUGGGCCUCCUUAGCCCUCCUUAUGCCUCCUUAUGCCUCUUUAGCCCUUCUUAGCCCUCCUUCGACCUCCUUAGCCCUCCUUAGGCCUCCUUAGGCAUCUUUUAGGCCUCCUUAGCCCUCCUUAGGCCUCCUUAGCGUUCCUUAGGCCUCCUUAGCCCGCCUUAGGCCUCCUUAGCCCUCCUUAGGCCUCCUUAAAUCUCCUUAGGCCUCCUUAGCCCUCCUUAGGCCUUUGUAGGCCUCCUUAGCCCUCCUUAGCCCUCCUUAGCCCUCCUUAUGCCUCCUCAGCCCUCCUUAUNNNNNNNNNNNNNNNNNNNNGUUUCACCCCCCCCCCCCCCUGAUUUUGCAGUGAUUUAUGUACUGACUGUUUAUAUUAGUUGAUCGACGGAGAGUAUUUUGAUUUUCGUCCGUCUAAAAAUAAUAUUAUUCUAACUGCUCGUAUAAAUCAAUAAAGACCGAAAGCCAUAAUAAAAAGACAUGAAUGGAGCUUGACGGCCACAAGGACAAAGCGUGUAAGUCAUUGAAAUGAUUUAUCAAUUCUUGUUGUAUUGUGAAUUUGUGUUGCAACUGACUAUCAAGAUUCUUUAAAACACGAGUAUUAUAAUAAUCUCCAGUAAGUAAACUUAAACAAAUAUAGCUUGUUGAAAACCGUGUUGCUAUAAAUUUCCCUGAGUGACAAAGGUUUUUUUGGAGAUUUAACGGUUUAUUCUAUUAGUAAAUUCUGGGGAAGCAACUCUUUGGAAUAAGCACUUAUAUCGAUCACCAUUAAAGUUUUUUAGACCUGUAUGUAUUCCGCUUUCAGGUAUGAAUUUAUCAAGAAAAUAUGGUAUAUCUGUAUUAAGUACAGGGUGGCAAUGAAGAAAG
rnacentral:lncRNA from 1 species